rnacentral:rRNA from 1 species
CAGGCCUAAUACAUGCAAGUCGGACGGGAUUGAGAAGCUUGCUUUUCAUGAGAGUGGCGCACGGGUGCGUAACACGUAUGUAACCUACCUUAAUCUGGGGGAUAGCCUCUCGAAAGAGAGAUUAACACCGCAUAACAUUAUCGGAUAGCAUUUUCUGAUAAUCAAAUAUUUAUAGGAUUAAGAUGGGCAUGCGGAACAUUAGCUAGUUGGUAAGGUAAUGGCUUACCAAGGCUACGAUGUUUAGGGGAUCUGAGAGGAUGACCCCCCACACUGGUACUGAGACACGGACCAGACUCCUACGGGAGGCAGCAGUAAGGAAUAUUGGUCAAUGGGCGCAAGCCUGAACCAGCCAUGCCGCGUGCAGGAAGACGGCCCUACGGGUUGUAAACUGCUUUUGUACCGGAAUAAACCUUUUCACGUGUGAGAAGCUGAAUGUACGGUAAGAAUAAGGAUCGGCUAACUCCGUGCCAGCAGCCGCGGUAAUACGGAGGAUCCAAGCGUUAUCCGGAUUUAUUGGGUUUAAAGGGUGCGUAGGCGGCCUAUUAAGUCAGGGGUGAAAGACGGUAGCUUAACUAUCGCAGUGCCUUUGAUACUGAUGGGCUUGAAUACACUUGAGGUAGGCGGAAUGUGACAAGUAGCGGUGAAAUGCAUAGAUAUGUCACAGAACACCAAUUGCGAAGGCAGCUUACUAAAGUGUUAUUGACGCUGAGGCACGAAAGCGUGGGGAUCAAACAGGAUUAGAUACCCUGGUAGUCCACGCCCUAAACGAUGAAUACUCGAUGUU